rnacentral:rRNA from 1 species
GUCGAGAAUCUUUCACAAUGGGGGCAACCCUGAUGGAGCGACGCCGCGUGGAGGAUAAGGUCUUCGGAUUGUAAACUCCUGUCAUGCGUGAACAAGGUUGCUUGGUUAAUACCUGGGCAAAUUGAUGGUAACGCAAGAGGAAGAGACGGCUAACUCUGUGCCAGCAGCCGCGGUAAUACAGAGGUCUCAAGCGUUGUUCGGAAUCACUGGGCGUAAAGGGUGCGUAGGUGGCGUGGUAAGUCAGAUGUGAAAGCCCGGGGCUCAACCUCGGAACUGCAUCCGAUACUGCCAUGCUAGAGUACGGGAGAGGUGACUAGAAUUCUCGGUGUAGCAGUGAAAUGCGUAGAUAUCGAGAGGAAUACCAAAGGCGUAGGCAGGUCACUGGACAGUUACUGACACUGAGGCACGAAGGCCAGGGGAGCGAACGGGAUUAGAUACCCGUGUAGUCC